rnacentral:rRNA from 1 species
UACAGAGGUCCCGAGCGUUGUUCGGAUUCACUGGGCGUAAAGGGUGCGUAGGUGGCAUGGCAAGUUUGAUGUGAAAGCUCAGGGCUUAACCCUGAAAUGGCAUUGAAUACUGCUGUGCUGGAGGUUUGGAGGGGGGACUGGAAUUCUUGGUGUAGCAGUGAAAUGCGUAGAUAUCAAGAGGAACACCAGUGGCGAAGGCGAGUCCCUGGACAACACCUGACACUGAGGCACGAAAGCUAGGGGAGCAAAC